GAUCCUGGCUCAGGAUUAACGCUAGCUACAGGCUUAACACAUGCAAGUCGAGGGGGCAGCAUGGUCUUAGCUUGCUAAGGCCGAUGGCGACCGGCGCACGGGUGAGUAACACGUAUCCAACCUGCCGUCUACUCUUGGACAGCCUUCUGAAAGGAAGAUUAAUACAAGAUGGCAUCAUGAGUCCGCAUGUUCACAUGAUUAAAGGUAUUCCGGUAGACGAUGGGGAUGCG
rnacentral:rRNA from 1 species